rnacentral:tRNA from 1 species
AGAAAGAUAAGCUAAUAAAAGCUAUUAGGUUCAUACCCUAAAUAUAGAAUUAAUAAUCUUCUUUUUA